rnacentral:lncRNA from 1 species
GGAUCUUGAAAUCCACUUGUCACAUAUCCAUGCAAGGCGCCAUAAAUUGAUUUUUAAUAUGAUUAAUAAUUAAUUUAAUUUAUUUAAUGGUGCUAUGGGACACUUGGCAACAUCAGGGACCUCUUUCAUCAUUAGAUGGGUCGAAAUGGAGAGAUAAAUUCAUAAAAAGAAUUGGAUAAGAUCAAAUUCUCUCUCUUCAUGACAUAUGUCAUCCUUAUCUUUAUCUCACUUCUAAUUAAGGUUGAAUUUCGAAUUUAAUCACCACAAAAUCAUCACGUGACCCUCUAAUCUGAUUGGGGGCAUGGGAAUUUCGAAAUUGAAAGAGGGAAGUGGCAACAUGAUGAAUGGUUUAGAUUAGAUCAAGCUUCAUCAUGUAAUGGCACAUGAACUUGAAUUUUGAAUUCAAAAUUCAAAAUCCCACAAAAUCCUCCACAAAUAUGGGAUGGUUGGCAUGAAGUUAGGUGGGAGAGCAACAUUAAAAGGACCUCCAUCAGCUGGUGGUCGAAUUCAAGAAAAAAGAGAGAAAAAGAAGAAGAAAAAAGGGAAAAGGAAAAGAGAGGAACCCUAGUUCAUGCGUGGAAAAAUUCUGCAUUCAAUCUAGCCGAUUUCUUCCUCCUCUAAGUCCAUCGUGCCAUUAGUGUUAGGGGUCCCUGAUAAGAGUCUUUAGAUCAGAUCUAAGUCCUCUUCAAUCCCUUUAAACCUUUCCUCCAAGUUCUUCCAAGAAGGCGGAUCAAAAAUUGAUAGCGUUGGGAAGAUCAAAUUUCAGCCUCAAGAAAUUCUGCGCAAGCUAGCACUUCCGCAGGAUUGGAUCUCUUCAGGAACUUCGCGUGGACUUCUCGUAGAGGCCAUUCGUGUGCGUGGCUGCGAAGUCGAGGAUCAGAUCCACAAGCUUCAUCCAUCAUAAAAGGU